GCUGGCCUAGUGGUUAGAGCGUCCACUUCAGAUGCGGAAGGUAGUGUGUUCAAUCCCCGGUCGAGUCA